rnacentral:rRNA from 1 species
UUGAACGCUGGCGGAAUGCUUUACACAUGCAAGUCGAGCGGCAGCGCGGGGCAACCUGGCGGCGAGCGGCGAACGGGUGAGUAACAUAUCGGAACGUACCCUAUCGUGGGGGAUAACACAUCGAAAGAUGUGCUAAUACCGCAUACGACCUGAGGGUGAAAGCGGGGGAUCGCAAGACCUCGCGCGACAGGAGCGGCCGAUAUCGGAUUAGCUUGUUGGUGAGGUAAAGGCUCACCAAGGCGACGAUCCGUAGCUGGGCUGGGAGGACGACCAGCCACACUGGAACUGAGACACGGUCCAGACUACUACGGGAGGCAGCAGUGGGGAAUUUUGGACAAUGGGGGCAACCCUGAUCCAGCCAUUCCGCGUGAGUGAAGAAGGCCUUCGGGUUGUAAAGCUCUUUCAGCAGGAACGAAACGGUGGUCCUUAAUACGGGCUACUAAUGACGGUACCUGAAGAAGAAGCACCGGCUAACUACGU